UCCGGGGAGUCUCUUUCCAUGCCCUCUCCUGACGGGACGCCGGGUCUCUACAGGGGGCCUCAGACUAAGCUUCGAGUGCGUGGCCAACAUCCCAAGUUUCAGAGGCCAAGAGGAAUCUCGCCUUUUUCUGGACCCGGAUUUGUCAGUGGAGGAGCUGUGUCCAGGGCGGGAGAAACGUCGUCCCCACUUGACCUGGGGCUUCACUGUGUGUCCUGAUGUCAUGCUCACUUCAGUUCGGGGAAUUACUGUUAAAGAGUGCUGAACUAGAACGUGUCCAGGACGGGGGAACAGGAAUCCAAAGAGGGGGUGUCUUAAAGAAGAAAAUCUUCACACAACACGGGUGAGUGGUUGUGAGGUCUUGGAGGGUUACCAAGAGAAAGAGCAAGUGAAGACUUGUGGGGAGGCUGAGUCAGGAGGA